rnacentral:misc_RNA from 1 species
UAGGGAGACCUGCUCGAUUUCCACCGUAACCCAUACAUUAUUCGGGGAAAUCAGCUAUCCCAAGGUCGUUCGGGACCGGAUCAUUUCUGGCUUUCAAACUCUUUGUUCGGUUCAGUAUUCUAAAAUACAGCACCAGUUCUGAAGUCAUCUAUCAAUCGUAGAGACCAGAAAGACUGCUGGAUUUUAACCAGCAAUGAACCUUGAAAACUGCAUAAAGAAAAGAAUCAAAGGUAAAAACCUUUUCAGUUAGUUUCUGAUUUUAAGAAACCGAUUGAAAAGCUGUCCAAAAAAGAAGACCACAAGU